rnacentral:rRNA from 1 species
GAUGAACGCUGGCGGCGUGCCUAAUACAUGCAAGUCGAGCGACGCGGGGACGGGGGAGUAACACGUGGAUAACCUCCUAUAAGACUGGGAUAACUUCGGGAAACCGGAGCUAAACCGGAUACUUAUACAUGGAUCCGCGCUGCAUUAGCUAGGUGGUAAGGUAACGGCUUACCAAGGCCACGAUGCAUAGCCGACCUGAGAGGGUGAUCGGCCACACUGGAACUGAGACACGGUCCAGACUCCUACGGGAGGCAGCAGUAGGGAAUCUUGCGCAAUGGGCGAAAGCCUGACGGAGCAAUGCCGCGUGAGUGAUGAAGGUCUUCGGAUCGUAAAGCUCUGUUAGUAGGGAAGCGGUACCUAAUCAGAAAGCAACGGCUAACUACGUGCCAGCAGCCGCGGUAAUUC